rnacentral:rRNA from 1 species
GCUCAUUACAACAGCCACCGUUUACUAGAAUAUAGUUAUCUUACUUGGAUAACUGUGGCAAUUCUAGAGCUAAUACAUGCAAAAAAGCUCUGCCCGCAAGGAACGAGCGCAUUUAUUAGAAUAAAAACCAAUCGGGCUUCGGCUCGUAAUUUGGUGAAUCUGAAUAACUUUGCCAAUCGCACAGUCCUAGUACUGGCGAUGUAUCUUUCAAGUGUCUGCCUUAUCAACUUUCGAUGGUAGGUUAUACGCCUACCAUGGUAGUAACGGGUAACGGAGAAUAAGGGUUCGACUCCGGAGAGGGAGCCUGAGAAACGGCUACCACAUCCAAGGAAGGCAGCAGGCGCGCAAAUUACCCACUUCCAGAACGGAGAGGUAGUGACGAAAAAUAACGAGACAGUCCUCUUCGAGGUCUGUCAUCGGAAUGGGUACAAUUUAAAUCCUUUAACGAGGAUCUAUUGGAGGGCAAGUCUGGUGCCAGCAGCCGCGGUAAUUCCAGCUCCAAUAGCGUAUAUUAAAGUUGUUGCGGUUAAAACGCUCGUAGUUGGAUUUGCGGCCUCGGAGAACGGUCCCCCGAAAGGGUGGUCACUGUCUCUCCUAGCCUAAUUUCGAGUCGUCUCUAGGUGCUCUUUACCGGGUGCUUAGAGUGACUAGAACGUUUACUUUGAAAAAAUUAGAGUGCUUAAAGCAGGCGAAAUAGCCUGAAUAAGGUGCAUGGAAUAAUGGAAUAGGACCUCGGUUCUAUUUUGUUGGUUUUCGGAACCCGAGGUAAUGAUUAAGAGGAACAGACGGGGGCAUUCGUAUUCCGGCGCUAGAGGUGAAAUUC